CAUGGCUCAGGAUGAACGCUGGCGGCGUGCUAACACAUGCAAGUCGAACGAAGCAUUACUUACGAUCCCUUCGGGGUGACGAGUUAUGACUGAGUGGCGGACGGGUGAGUAACGCGUGGGUAACCUGCCUCAUACAGGGGGAUAACAGUUGGAAACGACUGCUAAUACCGCAUAAGCGCACGGUACCGCAUGGUACAGUGUGAAAAACUCCGGUGGUAUGAGAUGGACCCGCGUCUGAUUAGCUAGUUGGUGAGGUAACGGCCCACCAAGGCGACGAUCAGUAGCCGACCUGAGAGGGUGACCGGCCACAUUGGGACUGAGACACGGCCCAAACUCCUACGGGAGGCAGCAGUGGGGAAUAUUGCACAAUGGGCGAAAGCCUGAUGCAAGCGACGCCGCGUGAGUGAGGAAGUAUUUCGGUAUGUAAAGCUCUAUCAGCAGGGAAGAAAAUGACGGUACCUGAGUAAGAAGCUCCGGCUAAAUACGUGCCAGCCGCCGC
rnacentral:rRNA from 1 species